CAGCCGCCGCGGUAAUACAGAGGGUGCGAGCGUUAAUCGGAUUUACUGGGCGUAAAGCGUGCGUAGGCGGCUUUUUAAGUCGGAUGUGAAAUCCCUGAGCUUAACUUAGGAAUUGCAUUCGAUACUGGGAAGCUAGAGUAUGGGAGAGGAUGGUAGAAUUCCAGGUGUAGCGGUGAAAUGCGUAGAGAUCUGGAGGAAUACCGAUGGCGAAGGCAGCCAUCUGGCCUAAUACUGACGCUGAGGUACGAAAGCAUGGGGAGCAAACAGGAUUAGAGACCCCUGUAGUCCCUGUCUCUUAUAC
rnacentral:rRNA from 1 species